rnacentral:rRNA from 1 species
AUUGAACGCUGGCGGCAUGCUUUACACAUGCAAGUCGAACGGUAACAGGGUGCUUGCACCGCUGACGAGUGGCGAACGGGUGAGUAAUGCGUCGGAACGUGCCGAGUAGUGGGGGAUAACGCAGCGAAAGUUGUGCUAAUACCGCAUACGUACUGAGGUAGAAAGUGGGGGACCUUCGGGCCUCACGCUAUUCGGGCGGCCGACGUCUGAUUAGCUAGUAGGUGAGGUAAAGGCUCACCUAGGCGACGAUCAGUAGCGGGUCUGAGAGGAUGAUCCGCCACACUGGGAGUGAGACACGGCCCAGACUCCUACGGGAGGAAGCAGUGGGGAAUUUUGGACAAUGGGCGCAAGCCUGAUCCAGCCAUGCCGCGUGUCUGAAGAAGGCCUUCGGGUUGUAAAGGACUUUUGUCAGGGAGGAAAUCCCUAGUGCUAAUAACACUGGGGGAUGACAGUACCUGAAGAAUAAGCACCGGCUAACUACGUGCCAGCCGCCGCCGUAA